AUGUAUUACCAUUUUCUCUUAGUAGCACAUUAGCAUUUCCCUAUUAAUACACAAUUAUAAAAUGGUUGUGCAGUGUUCCACUAGUCUUUCCUUUUGCUUUUUCUAUUUUUGGUUUGUUACUUGACAUUAUAAAUAAAGCAGUAGGGAGAGGCGUGAAAGUGAAUUUGGAGAGGGAAGAAGAAUAUUUUUCUCUCAGUUUUCAUGCUUUGAUUUUAAUUUUUUAUCGUUUAAGAAUGUAAUAGAUGCAUACAAUAUAUGCUGAUCAUAUCUAUCUGCCACUUCCCCUUCCAGAUCUCCCAGGACUCUCGAUACAUCCCAACUUCAAGACCUGUAUUGAUAGAUAUAGAUAUCUAGCUAUCCCACCGAGUGCUAUUUAGUGCUGUCUCCAUGCACAUAGAUGUAGGUCCAUCCAUUGGAGCACAGGCAACCUCCCAGUGGCCACACCCUCAAAGGAGAAAGACUCUCCAUCUCUCAGCAACCAUUGCUUCUCAGCUAGCAGCGGGGCCUCCUUAAGCCCAUCCUUUAUCCACAGUGGGAUUUUGACUGGUUUGGUCCUAACCACCACCAAUCAGGAGGAAAGCAGAAGUUAAAUUUGUGAUUUGGCUCCCAGCACCAGCCAAUUAGGCUAAAGGCCACAGUACCCCCCCCCCCCAUUAGAUUCUUGCUAGGCUAGAAACUCUCACCCUUCACUUGAUAUUUUCUUUAAAACCUUGCCCCAAUGUGUGUUUGGCGCUUUUCUCCACCCGAACGGGUCCUGUUAGUCAAGUCCCAAGCUCAACCUUGUGAAUAGAGACCCUCUUGUGAUUGUAUCCGAUCGGCUCCUGUCUGGUCUUUCAGGGUUCACGAAUGUUUUUCACUGGCAGGUCAAAACAGAGGGGUAUUCUAAGCAUACAGAUCGCAUAAUAUUGAGUGAAAAAGACUAGACUGUGGCUGAAUGUAGACACGGAGAAGGAAGACUUAAGGGUCAGACUGUGAAGUCCUUAUACGUUAAGGAUUCAGGUUACUAUUCCAAAGGCAAAGAUGACAGGUAAAGGUUUCUGCAGGGUGCUUCAAACUGAAUGAAGUUCACUAAGAUGACAGGGACACACUAAGAUGACAGGGACAGUGUGAUACAGGAGUCUCCAGUCUGCGGCACUUAGCUGAAUCCUGUCAGUUGCUUGGUUUUUGCUUGUAUGUUUGUCUGUUUCUUUCUUUCCUUUUCUUUUCUUUUCUUUUCUUUUCUUUUCUUUUCUUUUCUUCUCUUCUCUUUUCCUUUCGUUUUUUUUCCUUUCUUUCUUUCUUUCUUUCUUUCUUUCUUUCUUUCUUUCUUUUUUUUUUUUUUUUGCCGUGGGGGUGGAGGGAAGGUUUGAAAGAUACAACCCCAAAGACCCAAAUCCUGAAGGUUGAAAUUCUGAAAUCCUCAACUGUAAUUCUAAUUAGGGGACAGGGAAAGGCUGUUUAAGAGAGGUGUGCCGAUUUGGGGAAAUGGAUAAGUGAGUUUGGAAUUGUACAUGGGAUAAUUGUAUCCUUUCUGGUGCAAUAAAUACCUAGACACUUGCGGAGCAUCGCUUGGGAGUAUCAAUGAGAGAGUUCCCAGAGGUGCUCAGUGCCGGCUGCUGAGUAGAGAGGGCAGGAAAAGCGCAUGCUCAAUAUUGGCGGGCAUCUUCCAGUGCUGGAGCAGUCAGGAUCAGUUUUCCAAUCAUCUACAUCUGCUUUCCUGCUACUGUAGAUGAACUAAGUAGUCGAAGAGACUCCGUGUCCUUCAAAGCUUAAACCAUUUCAUACCUCAAUCUCUAUGGUGUACACAGCGUUUGGGGGCGGGGAGGCAAACAUGGAUGUGAGUCCUAUCCCCAACCCCCAGUUUCUGCCCUUCUUGUCUCAGGGACCAACCCGUACGCGUAUCACUCAAUGUCGUUCUCCAACUUCAGGUCUUUAGUCAACAAGAAUAGCCAGCUGAAGACAGAAGAGAAGUGAAGUUAAGGUGUAUUGAUCCACCCGAGUUCCUGGGCUCCAGUUCUCGCGAUCUCUAAUAAAAUAUUAUUUUGGGCGUAAGGGUGAUAAUGGUUUGCUAGUUCCUGUGUUCUUCAACAUUCCUUUAUGGCUCCCUUUGUCCAUGGCUUUGUAAAGUUUCUUCUAUUUAAAAACUGGUAUAUUUUCUGUUCCUAUCCAGAAAAAAACUGACCAAAGUCUAUGUUCAGUAUGAGGGCGUUGGGAAGGACGGGGAAGAGAGGUUUAACAGGGAAGGAUGAAAAGGAUACAUUUGAAAGAACAUAGGAGGUAAAAUGGUCCCGACUUGACCAUAGGUUGGGGAAAGCAAGGGGUGGAUAUUUUCAUUGCUCCUGUUUUGUGCGUUUUCUUCAGGGACAAUUGACAACAGGGAAGCUAUCGGGAUCAUUGUUGCUGCCCCCCACCCCCACCGCAGAUAUUUUGUUGUGGAAGAAUGACAAACAGGAUGCCUCUGGGGCAUGUUGAAUUACGCAGAGCCUUGGGAUGAUUCCACAGUGGAGUGGGUCAGUGACUGGUAGUUGUGUGAAUCUGGAACUUGGCGAAGACGUGGGCUGAGACGUCUCCUUCAACUGAAAGCUUCGCAGUUUGCUCUCAGGAAGAAGCACACACCAUCUGCUCUGAGGAUCUUCCGUUGACAGCCUGGCCGGGGUCAUGCUAGGAUUCAGAAAUUGCUGAGUGUGAAAGGGGCCUGAGGGAUGGGUCAGAAGAGGGCAUUGGCGGCAAGGAUCAAGAGUUUCCACGGAAUAAUCUCAACACAAGCAGUUCGGGCGAGGGUGGUGGAUUUUAGUACAACUCCUUGUCAGUCACACCUUGCCCUGCAGGCAGCCUCUGGGGACUUGCGUCAGACCCAUGGAGAAGCAGUAACAGUGAUCAAAUAUUAAAACUUCAUUAAAGUCUCUGUAAAAAGCCUAGUGGCUUCUUGUGUGUACCUGUGGCUUCCUGCCUUAGAGCUGUUUUCUGUCACAAAAGGAACACGCCUGAAUGAAAGACCAUGGAGAAAAGUUAAACUUUUAGACCAGUGGUUCUAUGGCCCCAUUGUGGUGUGGGGGGUGUCACAUAUCAGAUAUCUGCAUAUCACUUACAUUUUGAUUCACAACAGUAAACUACAGUUAUGAAGUACCAAUGACAAUACCUUUACAAUCAGGGGUCACCACAACAUGAGGAACCGCAUUAAAGGGUCAAUAGACAAUAACAGAAGUUUGCUGAGGAAGCUGCCUUUAUGAACAGUAGGCAAAGAGCAUCUUCACUCUCCAGACUAGCAUAUCUACAUGUGUUCCACAUUGUCUCCUAGAAGUCCCCAGCAGAACCGGGAUCCAAGGCUAAUGGGCUAGAUAACACCCUUUCUUUCCACAACGGUCUUACUCUGUCAUCUCCUCAUUCUCCCUAGGAUUGUCUCCCAUAUACACUAGUCUGCCCUAAAGUAAACCCAGGGGAAUUUUGGAAUCCUUUCUGGGGGUAGGGUGUCCUAUAUGUCACCUGUCACUGAGCAUAUGAG
rnacentral:lncRNA from 1 species